rnacentral:rRNA from 5 species
CACCUCUUCCCAUCCCGAACAGAGAAGUUAAGCCCGGAUCCGCCGAUGAUACUUGGUUCAAACCCGGUAAAGUAGGUAGCCGCCACAA